rnacentral:rRNA from 1 species
AUUGAACGCUGGCGGCAUGCCUUACACAUGCAAGUCGAACGGCAGCGGACCUUCGGGUGCCGGCGAGUGGCGAACGGGUGAGUAAUGCAUCGGAACGUACCUUUCAGUGGGGGAUAACGUAGCGAUAGUUACGCUAAUACCGCAUAUCCUGUGAGCAGUAAAGCAGGUGAUCGCAAGAACUUGCGCUGCGUCAGCGGCAGCUGUCAGAUUAGCUAGUUGGUGAGGUAAAGGUUCACCAAGGCGACGAUCUGUAGCGUGUCUGAGAUGAUGAUCCGCCACGCUGAGGCUGAGACACGGCCCAGACUCCUACGGGAGGCAGCAGUGGGGAAUUUUGGACAAUGGGGGCAACCCUGAUCCAGCCAUGCCGCGUGAGUGAAGAAGGCCUUCGGGUUGUAAAGCUCUUUCGGCCGGGAAGAAAUCGCACAGGCUAAUACCUUGUGUGGAUGACGGUACCGGAAUAAGAAGCACCGGCUAACUACGUGCCAGCCGCCACCGUAACAC